GUAGUCCACGCCCUAAACGAUGUCGACUAGUUGUUGGGCCUUCAGUGGCUCGGUAACGCAGCUAACGCGUGAAGUCGACCGCCUGGGGAGUACGGUCGCAAGAUUAAAACUCAAAGGAAUUGACGGGGACCCGCACAAGCGGUGGAUGAUGUGGAUUAAUUCGAUGCAACGCGAAAAACCUUACCUACCCUUGACAUGCCAGGAACUUGGCCGAGAGGCUGGGGUGCCCGCAAGGGAGCCUGGACACAGGUGCUGCAUGGCUGUCGUCAGCUCGUGUCGUGAGAUGUUGGGUUAAGUCCCGCAACGAGCGCAACCCUUGUCCCUAGUUGCCAGUGGUCUGCAAAGGCUGCGCACUCUAGGGAGACUGCCGGUGACAAACCGGA
rnacentral:rRNA from 1 species